rnacentral:lncRNA from 10 species
GUCUACAGCUCCCAGCUUGAGCCACGCAGAAGAUGGGUGAUUUCUGCAUUUCCAUCUGAGGUACCAGGCUACACCCUGCAAGGUCAUUAUCAUUAGCUGCACUUUACAGGAGAGGAAGCUGAGGCUCAGAGAAGCAAACUGCCCUCCUACUUAUGUUGAAGACUUUCCCAUCCUAUGAGCCCAGGUGGGAGAAGCUGAAAAUGGCAGAAGGUCACUUUUCCAGCUGCCCUGUGCCUGGUGAGCCUGUGACACAGACCCCGUUGCUCACAUAUCCACCCAGUUUGGUGCCAUAGGUGGUAGGCAGGUUGCAAACUCUGCGCUUAUGUGCCUCAAGAGACAGGGCUCUGGAUGUAUGAGGUCAAGGCUGUCUGAAGAAGAUGAAUAUGGUAGAGAUAAGGAGGAUUUUCCAGUGAUUGAAGAGAGACUUCCUAGUCAAGGACUGUGGUUUUGGAGCAGAGCAGCAGGGUCGUGUUCCCUGUCUCUGGCAGUACUCUGAACAUUGGCAGGACCUCAGAGUGGUGGCCCAAGGUGCCUAGGCUGCCAGCCUUGCCAAAACUUCCCUUCAAUCAGCUUGGUGAGGAAGGAGAAGGGGCUGAGGCAGUGGGAUUCUCAGUGGUAAUCCAGGGUGAACCAAUGUUCUAUAAUAAUAUUAGAGGGACCUCCCUAUGUCUGGGCCCUGUGUCCUACCUUAGGACCAUGGCACAACUCCCUGUGGGGAGAGGGAAGAGAAAUCCCUGUGAAUCACUCAGGCUGAAUUUCUCACCAACCCAGCAAGAUGGAAGCUCAGAGUUGAAAUCAAGUUGAUUAAUAAAACAUUUUAAAAGAAA